rnacentral:rRNA from 1 species
GUGGGGAGCGAAGCGGAUUAGAUACCCGCGUAGUCCACGCCGUAAACGGUGGACACUAGAUAUGGGGAGUAUCGACCCUUUCCGUGUCGAAGCUAACGCCUUAAGUGUCCCGCCUGGGGAGUACGGCCGCAAGGCUAAAACUCAAAGGAAUUGACGGGGGACCGCACAAGCAGCGGAGCGUGUGGUUUAAUUCGAUGCUACACGAAGAACCUUACCAGGACUUGACAUGGCAGAAGUAGGAAUCCGAAAGGAGGACGACCUGUAUCCAGUCAGGAGUUGUCACAGGUGCUGCAUGGCUGUCGUCAGUUCGUGCCGUGAGGUGUUGGGUUAAGUCCCGCAACGAGCGCAACCCUUGUCCUAUGUUAAAUUCUCAUAGGAGACUGCCUUGUACAGCAAGGAGGAAGGAAAGGAUGACGUCAAGUCAGCAUGGCCUUUAUGUCCUGGGCUACACACACGCUACAAUGGGUGAUACAACGGGUUGCCAAGGAGCGAUCUGGAGCUAAUCCCCUAAAAUCAUCCUCAGUUCGGAUUGCAGGCUGAAAUCGCCUGCAUGAAGUCGGAGUUGCUAGUAACCGCAGGUCAGCUAUACUGCGGUGAAUACGUUCUCGGUCCUUGUACACACCGCCCGUCACGCCAUGGAAGCCGGCAACACCCGAAGUCGAUGGGCUAACCCCGACUUGUCGGGGAGGCAGUCGCCGAAGGUGGGGUUGGUAACUAUGACG